AUGGCUCAGGAUGAACGCUAGCGACAGGCUUAACACAUGCAAGUCGAGGGGCAGCAUAGAAGUAGCAAUACUUGGUGGCGACCGGCGCACGGGUGAGUAACGCGUAUGCAACCUACCUAUCAGAGGGGAAUAACCCGGCGAAAGUCGGACUAAUACCGCAUAAAACAGGGGCACCGCAUGGUGAUAUUUGUUAAAGAAAUUCGCUGAUAGAUGGGCAUGCGUUCCAUUAGGUAGUUGGUGAGGUAACGGCUCACCAAGCCGACGAUGGAUAGGGGAACUGAGAGGUUGGUCCCCCACACUGGUACUGAGACACGGACCAGACUCCUACGGGAGGCAGCAGUGAGGAAUAUUGGUCAAUGGGCGGGAGCCUGAACCAGCCAAGUCGCCGUGAAGGAAGAAGGAUCUAUGGUUCGUAAACUUCUUUUGCAGGGGAAUAAAGUGCAGGACGUGUCCUGUUUUGUAUGUACCCUGAGAAUAAGGAUCGGCUAACUCCGUGCCAGCCGCUGC
rnacentral:rRNA from 1 species